rnacentral:tRNA from 2 species
GCGGUCGUGGUGGAAUUGGUAGACACGCUGUCUUGAGGGGGCAGUGCCGAAAGGCGUGAGAGUUCGAGUCUCUCCGACCGCACCA